rnacentral:rRNA from 1 species
UACGAAGGAGGCUAGCGUUGCUCGGAAUCACUGGGCGUAAAGCGCACGUAGGCGGACUCUUAAGUCGGUGGUGAAAUCCUGGAGCUCAACUCCAGAACUGCCUCGAUACUGGGAGUCUCGAGUCCGGGAGAGGUGAGUGGAACUGCGAGUGUAGAGGUGAAAUUCGUAGAUAUUGGCUGGAACACCGGUGGCGAAAGCGGCUCUCUGGCCCGGUUCUGACGCUGACGGCGCGAAAGCGUGGGGAGCAAACAGG